rnacentral:rRNA from 1 species
CUACGGAGGGUGCGAGCGUUAAUCGGAAUUACUGGGCGUAAAGGGUACGUAGGCGGUUAUUUAAGUUGGAUGUGAAAUCCCCGGGCUCAACCUGGGAACUGCAUCCAAAACUGGGUGACUAGAGUGUAUAAGAGGUUAGCGGAAUUCCAGGUGUAGCAGUGAAAUGCGUAGAUAUCUGGAGGAACAUCAGUGGCGAAGGCGGCUAACUGGUAUAACACUGACGCUGAGGUACGAAAGCGUGGGGAGCGAACGGGAUUAGAAACCCUAGUAGUCC